AACGCGCCACGACAUUCCUAGAAACCCCCAGUCGAGGCGCCCGUGGACAAAAUCGCACACUUGUCCGUUCGGGUCCCCUGUUGCAACGUAUCCAUCCGAUUACGGAUUUCGAAGCCACCUUUCGCUUCGAUGAUUCGAACCUCUUCCGGUAAUUCUCGUUCAUCGUUUUUUGAGGAUUGUCUGGUUCAUGUGAGAAUAUGUGGGAAUUGCCCUAAGUAUUUGCGUCUUGCCGCAAGGAUCCACGGGGAUACGGUCCGAAGGCGAUCCAACCUAAGCGGGUUUUGAUGGCGGCUGGCUCCUGUUUCUUUCCCUCCACGAACGCAAAUGGACGCAUUAGCUGACAAUUAUCGAUGCCGAUGAGAAUUCGCGGUAUCACGUCGGAAUAAGAUCGCAACUUUAGACCUUCCAGAUACUUUCUAGACGUAGCAUCUACUGAGAACGAUUGUGAAGGUAACGAGAGGCAUUGCAGAGUGUGUACCUUUGUAAGCGUAAAUUUCCUCAUCGUGUUGUCGACGCUGGCUAUUUGUAAUGCUACCUUUACUGAACGACUUUCAUCCUUUUCAGUCUCACCGGUCCCUCUGAUGCACAACGGAUGCGGUGUCGCUUUAAGACCCAGUUCCCCGAUCAAACUCUCUUCAAUGGACGUUCCCGUUGAACCAAUAUAAAAAACGCGUACGUCUCCACGGCCUUAUUGUCGCCAAAUACAACCACAGAUGCACCCAAUGUUCUUCAUUUGGACAGCUUUGGAACUGACUAAAGUAAAUUGUAGCCGCGCAAAGAUCGGGACGUGACGUCAAUCCAACAUACAUAAGACAACCCAUUAAUUCCCGAUAAGGUUUAUCGAUUCGCUUGUUUUCUAUGCCCUUUUCUAAAUUCAACUGACAAUCGAUCGGAGUCGCUACAGGUUUGCAUUCACUCAUAUUGAACCUCAAUAGCAAAUUUCUAAGAAAAUUUUCCUGAUUGAUAUAUAGCAGUCUCUUUUCCUUGCAUCGCUUUAUAUCCAUUCCUAGGAAAUUUUUAACUUCUCCGCUAUCGGUCAUUUUGAAUCUUUCAGAAAAAAUAUUCUUUACGGCUUUGAUUGAUUCUAGAUUUUCUCCAACAAUGAGUAAAUCAUCAACAUACAAGAUUAUGAAUAUUCUUUUUGUAUCAUUUCCUCUUGUAUACAGGCAAGGAUCGUUGUCACUAGGCAAGAAAUUUAAACUUUGAACAAAUUCAUUGAAUUUUCUAUUCCAAGCUCUAGAAGCCUGUUUUAGUCCGUAUAAAGAUUUGUUUAAACGACAGACAAGAUCUCUUCCCAAAUCAAAACCUUCUGGUUGUUCCAUGUAAAUUUCCUCGUUUAUUUCGCCAUUCAGAAACGCUGUACAUACAUCCAUUUGAUGGAUAUGCCAUUUGUUAUAAUUUGCUAUUGCAAAUACCGUUCUGAUUGUAUCUAGCUUUGCGACUGGGGAAUAGGUAUCCGAAUAAUCAAAACCCUGUCUCUGAGAAAAACCUCGAGCCACUAAACGUGCUUUAUAUCGAACUAGCUCAUUUUCUCUUUUGAUUUUGAAAACCCAUUUACAUGAAAUCGGUUUUCUACCUUUUGGUAAUUCUACCAACGACCACGUGUUGUUCGUUUCAAGCGAGUUCAUUUCGUCUUGGAUCGCUACUUUCCAUUUAUCCCAAUCAGUCCUGUUUUUAGCUUCUUUUAGAGAUCGCGGAAAAUCAUCAACGAACGUUAUUGCGCUUAAUGCAUAACCCACAUAAUCUACAUCGUAUUUUUCAAGCCAUCCAGGUGGCUUCCGUUCCCGAUUAGAUCGACGCACCGUUGUCUCAGUUUCCACUCGUCCGCCCGAUAAAUCAUUCGCUUCUUCUUCGUUGCACGACCGAAAACUCUCGUCUGCAUUACCAGUUUCAGAUGUUACAUCUGAUUCGUCAUUACGUUCAUCAUGGUCAUCCUCUUCGUUGUCAGAAAUGUUCUGAAAAAUAUCAACUGGUAAUUUAUUUACUGAGUUUGAUGUCACCUUUGAUUCUGUUGUUCUCGGAUGUUCAUCAAAAAUGACGUCUCGUGCCACGACUAUUUUUCUAAGCAUCGGGUUCCAUAUACGGUAGCCACAGUGACUGUAACCGACGAAAACUCCUUUCCAGGAUUUUUCGUCCAGUUUUCUGCGACACUCCUUCGGAAUAUGCACGUGUACCGUGGAGCCAAAUACACGCAAGUUACGGACGUCAGGUUUGGCUCCUUCCCAUAUUUCGUACGGCGUCUUCUCAUUGUUACUCGCACUGGAAGGGCUGCGAUUAGUCAGAUAUGCUGCUGACUGUACUGCGGGUCCCCAAAACUUUUUACCGAUACCACUAUUAUGCAACAUGGAACGAGCCUUUUCUACUAGUGUUCGAUUCAUACGCUCACUCACGCCAUUUUGUUCCGGUGUGUACGGUACCGUCCAUUCGACUUGGAUUCCUUUCGCUGAACAAAAAAUCAAGAAAUCUUUGUCUCUAUAUUCUCCACCGUUGUCGCAUCGGAUUCUUGAUAUUCUUUUACCGAACUUCGCACUUACCAUGGCUUCGUAUUCUUGAAAAUAUUUAUUCAUUUAACUUUUCCUUUCCAUAAGAAAAACCAUCGUGAAACGGCUCCAAUCAUCGAUAAAGGUUACAAAAUAGUUCGCACCGCUAUUGUCCUCUGGGCUGAUUGGACCACAUACGUCAGAAUGUAUUAACUCGACCACACGACUUGAUCGUUUUUCUUCUCGCGAAUUGAAAGACUUUCGAGUUGGCUUUCCUUUGUUACAGGCUUCACACACAAUAUUAUCAUUCCCGAGGCUUCUUUUAUCCGACACGUCCAAACCGCGAACCAUAUUGCUUUUCAAUAGUUUUUCCAAAUUUUUAGCACUCAGAUGGCCAUACCGAUAAUGCCAUAGUUCCAGGUUUCGUGGAAUCUGUCCGCAAGAAUAAUACGCCUCAUGUGUGUUCGCAUCGUUGAAAUUCAACCAAUACAAUUUCCCGCACAAUUCACCUUUCACUAUCUGUUUUCCACGUUUAUUCAAUAUUUUAACACACUCGUUAUCGAAUACCACUUCAAAUCCAGCAUUUGUUAUCUUCCGUAUGGAUAACAAAUUUGUAGGAGCUUCCGGUACAUACAAAACGUUCUUAAGUGUAACUGGAAUUUUGUCAUUACCCACACUUUCAAACACUAUAUCCCCUUCAUAAUAAGCGGUAAUAAAUUGGUUCUCUUUGGCGACGGAAAUUUGAACAUGCUUGUUCAAUUCCCUCAACACACUGAACACGUUUUUAUUAUUCGAUAUGUGUUCCGAAGAACCAGAGUCAACUACCCACGUUCCACCAGCAUUCAAGGGAAACCUUUCAUUGUUUAGAAAGCAUGCUCCACGCGUAUUGUCAUCAUCACCAAGAUAAGCGUUGGACUUCUUAGGAAACUUCUUUUUCAUUUUGUUCCUUUCUGGGCACAUAUUCGCCUUAUGUCCGUCCUUCUUACACGCGUAACAUUUUACCACUCUUUGCUGUUGAGGUUUACGCUGCCAUCCUUUUGCACUGGAAAAAGCAGCUGGUUCCGAUUUUGAAAUGUUCACCGAAUUGUUUUGCUGUUUCACUUCUUCGUCCAAAAGUCGACUUUUUACGAAUUCUAUAGUCAAACUACUCUCCGGCAUUGUUUCCAGCGCCGUAACGAGCGUAGCAUAAGACAAGUUCAACGUAAGAAGGAGAUGAAAGAUCACAUCGUCAUUAUCCAUUCUACCUCCGGUCGCCCGGUAAUCGCGCAUUAAACUAUCAAAUACCAGAAAAUGCUCUCGUAGAGGACCACUUUCGUGUUUCAAAGCUAGGAGCUUUUUCUUUUCGAGGAUAAGCUUUUUCUCUCGUAUAUGUUCAAAAGUGUGUCCCACAUUUCCUUUGGAGUUAGUUUGUCACGCACAUAUUCUAAUUGAGAGUCCGCAAUACGAGAAAUCAACAAAAGCUUGCAUUUCUUAUCACUCUUGCUAAGCUGUUCUCCUUCUUUUCUUUCCUUUGUAAGGCAGUCCAUAAGUCCUCUUUCCUCAAGCAGAAUCAUCAUUUGAUAUUUCCAGGAGGCAAAGUUAGUGCCGUCCAUCAUCGGCAACAACAUCACUUUUUCUUCCUCCAUUUCAAAACCAGUUUUCACUGCACUACCGUUAAGCAAACACUUCACAAUAGAAGCCGGUUUUCUAUAUUCGCAGUACUGAUUUCUUCGGGUCUGGGCCCAUAACCUAUUGAGCAGAGUGCAGAAACAGCGUCUAGCUUCGGUGGCUGGCAGAACUCAACUGAACUUUUAUUCUAGCUCAAGGUAUUUACAGGACGGGUGUAUACAUACAGAUUUAUAGUAAUGGAUUAUAGUACACAGGGUUGAAUUGAUAUCUCAACAACAUUUAAAAAUGUGCUUGCCAUCGUUCAGUUCCACUACAAGAGAGGUUCAACAUUUGGACCAUCUAAAGCUUCUCCGUCGUCAAAAGCAAUUUGGAAGCACCCGUAAGGACCUUUAAAUUUCUGCUCUGUUGGUUUUCGUGGUAUUUCCGAAAAAUCCAUCUUGAAGGUUUUGUCACUUCCCGACAUUUUCCUCAAGACAAGCACUGCCCACAAAGACUAACUGUUAGUUUUUGGAAAGCACGUUUGGUUUUUUGUCGUUUCUCUCGACCCUGAUAUACAGUCAUUUACUGUACUAUACGAGCACCUGUUGUUUUUGAAUAAAAUAAGAACAGAAUUGGUUUUAUUUUACAAUAAUAUUUACAUUAAUAGGUCGCUAUGAACAUCCUGACGGGUAUCCUUCUAUUUAGUGUUUACGCUGUAUUUUUCUACUGAAUUUAAUUAAUUUGAAGAAAAUAAGUCAUAUUUUUAUGAAGACCAGCUGGUAGAGGAAGGUCACUUAAGCUGCCUUCAUGAUAGGAAUCAUCCCAUACAUUAUUUGAAUCUACUUAAUCUAUCUUACGUACCUGUCGUGAUUGCCGCCUGCAAUUACGCUUUUAUUCAUCUGAAACAUUUUAGCACUUUUUUAAAUAUAUAUAUUUAUUUGUGUUUGUUUUGCUCGCAUUUACGUUCGAAGCACCGUUCUCUUCAACGUCUGUCCAAAAACUGCCAACUUUUUGCUUUCUUUUCUCUCUUGUCUGCGUUCUUUCUCUGUUUUCUCUUGUCUGCGUUCUUUCUCUGUUCUCUCCUGUUUCGCCGAGAUUCUCCUAACUCUCUUGAAACAAGAACGUCCGUACUUCUAGUAGGCUUUUUAUUUGCCUUUAUUUUAUCCCUACUCUUAUUUGCCCUUUUAGGUUGGUAACGUCCUUCUUUAUAUAUUUUUAAUCUACUCCUAAUUAUUCUAUUCUCUACAUUUUUUUUUUAUUAAACUACACUUCUAAUCUCUACAGUUUGUUCUAUUCUUCUUCUUCUUCUUCUUCGCUAUAUGAGAGAGGAAUACAUAUCCUCCUAUGUUUAGUGGCAGAACCAUCUCUACAUAAUCAGAGGUUUGCCUCUCUCUUGUUUGUCUUUGACUUCCCUGAGUCAUAUCGACGUAUUAAUAUUACGAUUAAUUCGGAAUUUGGGUUUGCGUUUUGUUUUUUGUUGUUGUUUCUCUAGAAUUCGAUCUUGUUUUGCUUUACGUACUUCGCUAUUUGUUUGAUCAUCGUUCCAUCCCUAUCAUUCCAGUGUGCCAUAAAAUCUUCAGUAGUUGAACCUAGCGGUGGGUCGAAUCUUUGACAUUCGAAUAUUAAAUGUGUAGCUGUUUCUGGUACAUUACACACAUUGCAGUUUGGGUUAUCAGAUAGUUUCAUUACAUGUAACCAAUAUUUUGCUAAAUCAUGGCCUGUUAAGAUUCUAUUGCCCCUCCUUAUUUCGUUUGCAGUUAAGUCGAUUUAAUGAUGCCACGGUUUACUUGUAAAUUCUUGUUGAUAUUGUUUGAAUUUUUUACCUUUUUCUUCGCAUUGUUCUUUGUACCACUUUUUUGUGUCUUCUAGCAUUUUGUUUUUUGCUACUAUUAAGGUAUCUUCUAAUCUUAAACUUAUUUUUUAUGCGAGUUUCUGAUUUAAUGCCUUCUUUGGCUAGUUCAUCGGCUUUUUCGUUACCUGGGAUACCCACAUGUCCAGGGAUCCAUCUGAUUUCUGCUUUAGUUUGCUUACAGUACUUUAAUAUGUUGUGCAGUGGUUUUUCUAUGUGUGAGUCUUUUUGUGCUCUUGUGAUAAUUUGGCAUGCUGCCUGACUGUCUGUAUAUAGUAUUGGAUUUUUUAUUUUUGUGUCGUGAGCUAUUUUAAGGGCUUUUUCUAUUGCUGAUAAUUCGAUAGAUGUUGUUGAAGUUAAAUUUUCUAAACGAUAUUUGUAGGUGUGAGUCUUGUCGAGAGAUGUGAUGAAAAUUCCUAUGCCUGCUCCUUCUACCGAUCUACUACCGUCUGUGAAGAUUAUUGUGUUUGUUUUUUGGGCCUGCUCGAUUUCGUUUAUAUAUUCUACUUUCAUGAUUUUUUGGUCGUGAGGAUUCUUUUUUGACAGCCUCUGAUCGAGUUUAGUGCGUAUUUUUAUCUCCUCCUGUACUUUGUUUAAGGUUAUAUCAGCCAUUUGUUUUAUGGUCUCUUUGUUUUCCGUGUAUAAUAUUUCUAGGUAGUUUUUCUUCCGUUUUUUUCUGGUGCGAUUCCUCUCAAAUUGUUUUUUAUGUAUGGGUGAAUAUAGGAUUGUUUUAAAGAGCUCUUUCGUAGCUAGGUAUUUAGUUCUGUAGCCUAGGGGUAUUUCUGCAUUUAUGGCGUAAAGUGUGUUGAUCGGGGUAGUUUUUGUGCAACCUGAUACCUUUCUGAUAGAUUGUGCGACUAUUGGGUUCAUUAUGUUCAAAUGUUGUUUUUUACCAUUUCCUAGAAUGGAUGCUCCAUACUCGAGUGUUCUUUUUACUAUUGUUCUAUGUACCGCGAUCGUUUUCUUUGGGUUAAGAUUAUUUUUGAAGUUGCAAAUGUGUUUCAUUACAUUAAAUUUGGUGCGGGCUUUGUCUUUUUGUACUUCUAUUUCUUUACGGAAUGUUAGCCUACUGUCCAUCCAUAUGCCUAAAUAUUUGUAUGUCUCUACCCUUUCAAUAAUUUUUUCCUCUAUUCCAAUCUG